UGUUAAUUAGUUAUUCUUCUAUAUUAUAAGAUACAUUUUACUAUAGUAUACGUUUCAGUCACAUAAUUGUAGCUUAUAAUUAAUGGAAUUCCAGAGUUAAAUGUCCCACCAGUCACUAUAGAAUGCCCGUUUUAUUAAAAUUUUUACGCUCGAGAAUUUGACAGUCUCUGACCCGGUAAAUAUUGCGUCACCCAGCUUAUCAUUUAUUUAAAGUCUGAAGAAUGACUAACGCAAUUAUCAAGUGUGAUUAAAUAUAAGUUGAGUAGCCGAAAUAUUCAUUGACUCGAAAAAUAAUUGACAAGGAAUCCCCCGAGUUAUAAAUAAUUAUUGUUAAUAUCUAAGUAUAUUUAAUCGAGAUAAUCCAGAUUAAAAUUAAAAAUUAAAAUAAAAAGAAAAAAUGAUACAAAACAUCGAUCGAUUGAUUCACACCUGCGCAUAUCUCAUUUUUGAUAGUUGCUCUUGAAUAAAAGAAAUUAAAAAGCCGCGUGAUCUUUUUCAAUAAACAGUGAACUUUACUGGGAAAUGAACUUCAAUGCUAAAUUACAUCGCUUGGUAUGCAUUACUCCUAUCAUAUUACGUCUUAAUGCACCUAUAUUUUGAGUGCAUGUGUAAACAUAUACGUACACUUGGAAAAAUACACCAAGCGUGCAGCUAACGAGUUCUUUUACGUAGAUGUAAGUUACGUAAGAAUUGCAAUCCCUGAUCAAUAAAUAUACAAGGAGGAAACGCAAAAUUAAUGCAUCGAUUUACUCGCAUAAAAUAAUUAAUUUUAAAAACAAAUAUCUUUUAACAUUUUUAUCGUUUAUUUAUGAGAUUCGUCCCCGUGAAAAAUUUAAAAGCAAAGGGCUGUCUAAAAAUAGGCUCAUUGAAAUGCGUGGAAGAUAUUAAUCUCAAAAAUCUUAAACUACAGGAAUAGCUUAAGGUCAUGGUGAAAGAUGGCCAUAGAAAGAAACUAAACCAUGAGAACAUUUUUGUUGUAUUAAAAAAAAUCUGACGAAGAAAAAUUAUAACUUUUAAAUUUAUACAAUCCACGUGACUUGGAAUUAAUUGUCUGGAGAGAAUAGAACCACAUAAGUGUUACGCGCACGUGGGUUUAUGUGACAAUAGUAAGAUCAUUGAUUAAACUCAAGUUCUUUGAACUUAAAACACUUUCCAAUAUCUAAUAAUAGAUGUAAUAAUUAUAAACGCUUUACGGUGAGUGUGUGACGUAAAUUGUCUGCUAAAAGUUUAAGAAAAAUUUUUCAAUUAAUUUCAUUUAUUUUUUAAUGUUAAAAAAAAAUUAAAUGCCAUAAUUA
rnacentral:lncRNA from 1 species